rnacentral:snRNA from 1 species
GGAUGUGAGGGUGAUCUGGCUGUGACAUCUGUCAUCCCAUGGAACACCAGGGUUGAUUCAGUUGAUCUGGAUGGCUUGACAGGUCUCCCCUUUUUCUCUCACAGCUCCAUGUGCAUCUGUCUUGAAGCUUUGCAGUUGGUCAAGGACUAUCACCCCAAAUAGAGAAGAACUGUUUCAUAGGUCAAGGAUAUACAAGUAGCCAUUCUCCCCUGCUAGAAACCUCCAAACAAGCUCUCAAGGAACAGGACAAUGGAAAAGAUGGCCUGAGAACAUCACAAGAAAUAGCAGGACUACAGCCUUUGC